rnacentral:rRNA from 1 species
AUUGAACGCUGGCGGCAUGCCUUACACAUGCAAGUCGAACGGUAACAGGUCUUCGGAUGCUGACGAGUGGCGAACGGGUGAGUAAUACAUCGGAACGUGCCCGAUCGUGGGGGAUAACGAAGCGAAAGCUUUGCUAAUACCGCAUACGAUCUACGGAUGAAAGCAGGGGACCGCAAGGCCUUGCGCGAACGGAGCGGCCGAUGGCAGAUUAGGUAGUUGGUGGGAUAAAAGCUUACCAAGCCGACGAUCUGUAGCUGGUCUGAGAGGACGACCAGUCACACUGGGACUGAGACACGGCCCAGACUCCUACGGGAGGCAGCAGUGGGGAAUUUUGGACAAUGGGCGAAAGCCUGAUCCAGCCAUGCCGCGUGCAGGAUGAAGGCCUUCGGGUUGUAAACUGCUUUUGUACGGAACGAAAAGACUCUGGUUAAUACCUGGGGUCCAUGACGGUACCGUAAGAAUAAGCACCGGCUAACUACGUG